UCACUGUUAGCUUUGGCAGUGCUUAUAGUAACAUUGGAAGGAUAUAAAGAUUGGCAUGGCCCCUAUGCAUGGAUGACUUGCAAAUUUGUGAAGCAUUCAUAUUUUUA
rnacentral:snRNA from 1 species